AGUGAACGCUGGCGGCAUGCUUUAUACAUGCAAGUUGAACGAGGUUUUUACCUAGUAGCAAACGGGUGAGUAAUAUACAAAAAUCUACUUAGUAGUGGGGGACAACAGUUGGAAACGACUGCUAAUACCGCAUAAGCCCGAGAGGGGAAAGAUUUAUUGCUAUUAAAUGAUUUUGUACCGGAUUAGCUAGUUGGGGAGGUAAUGGCUCACCAAGGCGAUGAUCCGUAGCCGGCCUGAGAGGGUGAACGGCCACACUGGGACUGAGACACGGCCCAGACUCCUACGGGGGGCAGCAGUAGGGAAUAUUGGACAAUGGGCGAAAGCCUGAUCCAGCAAUGCCGCGUGAGUGAUGAAGGCCUUAAUCGGUCGUAAAGCUCUUUUGUCAGGGAAGAUUAUGACUGUACCUGAAGAAUAAGGACCGACUAACUAUGUGCCAGCAGCCGCCGUAA
rnacentral:rRNA from 1 species